UACGUAGGGUGCAAGCGUUGUCCGGAAUUAUUGGGCGUAAAGAGCUCGUAGGUGGCUUGUCGCGUCGGCCGUGAAAUCUCCACGCUUAACGUGGAGCGUGCGGUCGAUACGGGCAGACUUGAGUUCGGUAGGGGAGACUGGAAUUCCUGGUGUAGCGGUGAAAUGCGCAGAUAUCAGGAGGAACACCGGUGGCGAAGGCGGGUCUCUGGGCCGAUACUGACGCUGAGGAGCGAAAGCGUGGGGAGCGAACAGG
rnacentral:rRNA from 1 species